rnacentral:rRNA from 1 species
AUGCAUGUAGCAAAAGGCCAACAUGGUUCCAACUUCUCGGCAUCACAGUUCCAGCAUUUGGAUGUCAUGGUUGUAGCACUCCCCCCGUCAUGUGUGGUCACCAUCGGCAGCUGCCAGCUUCCAGCAUCUGGUCACCGUGGUUCCAGCAGUUGGACACUACAGUUGCAGCAUCUGGAUGCUGUGGGGUGUAUAAAAAGUGACUGUAGUGGUGAAGGUGGUCGCCUCCAUGUAAGUCCGGCCAUCACAGGUUUCAGCAUCCAUGCACAACUCUUGGAUUUUGAGGUUGCAGCUUCUGCAGGGGUGGUUGAAGCUUUUUGGCUUGCUGGACGCAACAUCCAAUGA